UGGGGAAUCUUGGACAAUGGGCGCAAGCCUGAUCCAGCCAUGCCGCGUGAGUGACGAAGGCCUUAGGGUUGUAAAGCUCUUUUUGCCGGGGACGAUAAUGACGGUACCCGGAGAAUAAGUCCCGGCUAACUUCGUGCCAGCAGCCGCGGUAAUACGAAGGGGACUAGCGUUGUUCGGAAUUACUGGGCGUAAAGCGCACGUAGGCGGAUUUGUCAGUCAGGGGUGAAAUCCCGGGGCUCAACCUCGGAACUGCCUUUGAUACAGCAAGUCUUGAGUCCGAUAGAGGUGGGUGGAAUUCCUAGUGUAGAGGUGAAAUUCGUAGAUAUUAGGAAGAACACCGGUGGCGAAGGCGGCCCACUGGAUCGGUACUGACGCUGAGGUGCGAAAGCGUGGGGAGCAAACAGGAUUAGAUACCCCAGUAGUCCCUGAGCGGGCUGGCAAGGCGCAU
rnacentral:rRNA from 1 species